GGGCAGUUAGCUCAGUGGUUAGAGCGUCCGGUUCACAUCCGGAAGGUCGUAGGUUCAACUCCUAUACUGCCCA
rnacentral:tRNA from 1 species